rnacentral:rRNA from 1 species
UACAGAGGGUGCAAGCGUUGUUCGGAAUCAUUGGGCGUAAAGGGCGUGUAGGCGGUUUUGUUAAGUCAUGUGUGAAAUCCCUCGGCUCAACCGGGGAACGACGCAUGAAACUGGCAAGCUAGAGUACGGUAGAGGGGGAUGGAAUUCCGCGUGUAGCAGUGAAAUGCGUAGAUAUGCGGAGGAACACCGAUGGCGAAGGCAAUCCCCUGGACCUGUACUGACGCUCAUGCACGAAAGGCGUGGGGAGCAAACAGG